rnacentral:antisense_RNA from 1 species
UCUAUGGUGGGCUGGACGGGGGCGCCGCAAGGCGCGCCGGUGUCGGUAUGGCCGGUAAGACCAACUCCGUUCAGUCCACCACCC